AAUACUAGGGUUUCAUAAAAUCGGGACUGAGUCGGGACAUAAGAAGCGGCGGGCACCGCGAACCCUAGCGAAGGCGAGUUCGUUUCCAAAUCUCUCAGAUCUGUCGCGCGCACACGAUCGAGUCCAGUCCAGCGGCAUCCACACUUCACGUGCCGCCAACGCUACAUGCCUGACAUCUGCGAGCUUGGUUCCUCUUCUGCCUACUGCCGGCACAGGCAGUGAAGGAAAGAUCGUUGACGACCUGACGAUCAAGUUUGAGGAGAGUGGUGGCUGUAUGGCGCCGUCUCGGUUCAGGGUUAUUGAUGGCCUCAAGUUGUGGGGUGGAGCUUGACUCUCCAGUGGUUGAGCCCUAUGAGAUUUUACUAGAUCAUUGAUGACGCGCGUUGCUGCGCCCGUCUAUUUUGGCUCUUACUUGUUAGGUUAAGCAUAUAAUGUGGGUUGUAUAUAUUUGCUUGCAUUGUUUUGAAAUAUUAUGACUUCCUAUAAUUUGUAUUUUUCUUUAUUUUUUAAACAAGGGUAUGUAAAUAAAGUGAGGAAUCUGAUUGUUCCUAUA